AAGCCCUCGUCUUAACCGAGGAAGCGCAUCGGAAACUGGGAAACUUGAGUGCAGAAGAGGACAGUGGAACUCCAUGUGUAGCGGGUGAAAUGCGUAGAUAUAUGGAAGAACACCAGUGGCGAAGGCGGCUGUCUGGUCUGUAACUGACGCUGAGGCUCGAAAGCAUGGGUAGCGAACAGGAUUAGAUACCCUGGUAGUCCAUGCCGUAAACGAUGAAUGCUAGGUGUUGGAGGGUUUCCGCCCUUCAGUGCCGCAGCUAACGCAUUAAGCAUUCCGCCUGGGGAGUACGACCGCAAGGUUGAAACUCAAAGGAAUUGACGGGGGCCCGCACAAGCGGUGGAGCAUGUGGUUUAAUUCGAAGCAACGCGAAGAACCUUACCAGGUCUUGACAUCUUUUGAUCACCUGAGAGAUCAGGUUUCCCCUUCGGGGGCAAAAUGACAGGUGGUGCAUGGUUGUCGUCAGCUCGUGUCGUGAGAUGUUGGGUUAAGUCCCGCAACGAGCGCAACCCUUAUGACUAGUUGCCAGCAUUUAGUUGGGCACUCUAGUAAGACUGCCGGUGACAAACCGGAGGAAGGUGGGGAUGACGUCAAAUCAUCAUGCCCCUUAUGACCUGGGCUACACACGUGCUACAAUGGAUGGUACAACGAGUUGCGAGACCGCGAGGUCAAGCUAAUCUCUUAAAGCCAUUCUCAGUUCGGACUGUAGGCUGCAACUCGCCUACACGAAGUCGGAAUCGCUAGUAAUCGCGGAUCAGCACGCCGCGGUGAAUACGUUCCCGGGCCUUGUACACACCGCCCGUCACACCAUGAGAGUUUGUAACACCCGAAGCCGGUGGCGUAACCCUUUUAGGGAGCGAGCCGUCUAAGGUGGGACAAAUGAUUAGGGUGAA
rnacentral:rRNA from 2 species